GGCCCUGAUUGGUAAACUCUGUCUGGACCGGAACAACUAUAAAAACAGAUUGGAAGCCAUGUCUUUGGGUUCCCAAAGUCCAGUGACUCUUGUAAUUGGCAUGACGCUGCAGAAACCACAGAAAUUAUGCCCAAGGGAGUUCCUCCAGAAGAUAUCAGCUGCUGUGUAGUAUGGGGCUUCCAAUCCAGGGUGACUUCCAAACCCCCUGAUGUGAGUCUCAUUUCUGCACCUGAGCCACCACUUGGGGAUCAAAGAGGAUAACUUCUAACCUCGAUGCGGAUGGCUUUGUGAUCUGCUGCAAGGUCCCACGGAAGAGAAGUGCCAGAUGUGCCCUGCUGACAUACUCUGCGGCCCAGCCUACGCCUCCUGCCGAGUCAGCUGCUGCCCAGUGUGGCAUCGCAGUCCUGUGAGCUCUAGUAGAGUCUUCCAACGAAGACCUUCUGGUGGGCGUUGCAGGCAGCACUGAGCCGCGAAAGAGCAUCUGGAGGAUGUGAAGCUUGGUCCUGACUUUGCCCUUAACCAAGACCUCGGUGACCUUGAGCAGGGGCCGGGCAGGGGGGAAGGUCACAGACUCUCUGGGUCUCUGUUUUCUCAACUCUAACCUAAGAGGCUGCACUCAGUAGGCCCAGUGUGUCUCCAUGAUUCUGUGAAUCUGUAACUUUCAAAAUCUUCAGAACACCCGUGAAGGGUAAGCAGGCAGGGAUUUUUGUCCAUAUUUGACUCAUGAAGAAACUAAGGAUGGAGGAAGUGAGAGGACUGAGGAGUGUUUGAACCAGCGCCAGAAGUGAGUUCACCUGAGUUCCAGCACAAUAUUCCUUCUAGCGUGAGAGAAACAUGGACCCUUCCUCCCAGGAAUUUACUAUCAAGCUUAUUCAGCUGGCACUGGUUUGAGGAAAGACUACAGGCUCUUAAGAGAGGUCAGCAAGGGAGGCAGGACCGCCAGAAAGGGCCGGUCGGACCUGGGUCAUGGCCGCUGUGAGGAGGGAAAUCGGAAGAGGCUGUUUGCUGAGGGGCUGGCAUUCCCUGGAGCACAAGGGAAGGGGAAGUUGCCAGGAAACCCUGAGUUUUCCAACCUGACAAUCAGGCCACAGCUGAGUUUUUAUAGGAAAUUGCCCAGCUCUUUGGAAAUUUUAUGCAGUAUAAAUAUGGCCUUCGAUGUCUAUACAUUAGCUUAGCAGAAGGCGGAAACAUCUUGGAACCCCUGGAUUUGAGAGAUCUCUGCUUGCAUUCUUAUUAUAAUUACUUUCAGCAGAACUGUAUAAUAUGAAAUUAUAUUGCUAAAAGCUAUUUAAUUUUGUAAUCUUUGAGACUUCUUAAUAACAAGUAAACCCCAAGCAGAGUGAAGGUGGAAUGGAAAAAGCAGUUUAUUCUGAAUAAAAAAAAAUAG
rnacentral:lncRNA from 1 species